ensembl:snoRNA
CACCCCUGGCAUUGGGCAGAGAGACACCUCUUUGUGGUGUUGCUCUUCUAUCAGCCAGGGGCAGAGCAGAUGCACAGUCCUUUGUUCAUCCUAGCUGGAUGCCUGUGUUGGUGGCCGGAGCUGUUUCAUGCUUAGGGCACAAAA